UACGAAGGGGGCUAGCGUUGUUCGGAUUAACUGGGCGUAAAGGGUGCGUAGGCGGGUUUUUAAGUCAGGGGUGAAAUCCCGAGGCUCAACCUCGGAACUGCCUUUGAUACUGGAAAUCUUGAGUCUGGGAGAGGUGAGUGGAACUGCGAGUGUAGAGGUGAAAUUCGUAGAUAUUCGCAAGAACACCAGUGGCGAAGGCGACUUACUGGACUGUAACUGACGCUGAGGCAUGAAAGCGU
rnacentral:rRNA from 1 species